GACAGAGGUGCCGAGCGUUAGGCGGAAUCACUGGGCUUAAAGCGUGUGUAGGCGGACUUCUAAGUACCUUGUGAAAUCCCACGGCUUAACCGUGGAACUGCUUGGUAUACUGGUUGUCUUGGGCCAGCUAGGGGCUACCGGAACAAACGGUGGAGCGGUGAAAUGCGUAGAUAUCUAUCGGAAUGCCGAAAGUGAAGACAGCCCGCUGGGGCUUUCCUGACGCUAAAGCACGAAAGCGUGGGGAGCAAACCGG
rnacentral:rRNA from 1 species